rnacentral:rRNA from 1 species
AACGCGAAGAACCUUACCAGCCCUUGACAUGGUCGGACGGUUACCAGAGAUGGUUUCCUUCACUUCGGUGACUGACACACAGGUGCUGCAUGGCUGUCGUCAGCUCGUGUCGUGAGAUGUUGGGUUAAGUCCCGCAACGAGCGCAACCCUCGCCCUUAGUUGCCAUCAUUCAGUUGGGCACUCUAAGGGGACUGCCGGUGAUAAGCCGGAGGAAGGUGGGGAUGACGUCAAGUCUUCAUGGCCCUUACGGGCUGGGCUACACACGUGCUACAAUGGCGGUGACAGAGGGCUGCUAGGCCGCGAGGCCAUGCUAAUCCCUAAAAGCCGUCUCAGUUCGGAUUGCACUCUGCAACUCGGGUGCAUGAAGUCGGAAUCGCUAGUAAUCGCAGAUCAGCACGCUGCGGUGAAUACGUUCCCGGGUCUUGUACACACCG